AGAGAGAAAAUAUCGCAUACUUAUAUAGGUUCAUAAUCGGUUGAACGUCUCUACCAGCCGCCGGAAACGGCUGACUAUAAGUAUGCCGGGCGUAAGA
rnacentral:ncRNA from 2 species